UGUGUGUGUGUGUGUAUGAGUGUGUGUACACAUGCAUGAGUGUGUGCAUGCGUGCAUACGUGUGUGUGUGUGUGUGUGUGUGUGUGUGUACGUUUGCAAAAAGCAAACAGAUCAUAUGGUGCACUUCAAAAAAGGCUGUGGAGUCAAAAAGGAGAAACAUUAAAGAACUUGAAAAAUUCCAUCUUCGUUGUCUGCGUCGUAUCUUGCGAAUUCACUGGAGUGAAAGAGUGACAAAUAGUGAUGUUCUGAAACAAUCCGGUAUGACAGAGAUUGAAUGUAUGAUAACAAAACAACAAUUACAAUGGGUCGGUCAUGUCACACGAAUGAAUGACAGAAGGCUACCAAAACAAGUGUUCUAUGGACAGUUGUUAAAUGAAUGUGGGCAUCAAUCAGGACAAUUGGGAGUCACUGGCGUCUGAUCGUUUGGUUUGGAGGAAGAAAGUGUCAUCUGGUCUGAAGAAGGUUGAGGAUGAGGAAAUGAAAAAAUUAGAAGAACGACAACACAUACACCAGCAAAUGGCACAAGUAGUAACUACAAGUCAAUAUGUAUGUGCCAUCUGUCAUCGCGAUUGUCAUUCUCGUAUUGGUCUCUAUGCACAUGAACAAGCACACAAGCGAUGGUUGAAUUCUAAUCAGUAGAGAAGUCGUGAACUUGUACACGAGUAGCAGACAAUAAAUGAAUGGUGUGUGUGUGUGUGUGUGUUACGCUGC